rnacentral:rRNA from 1 species
AACGCGAAGAACCUUACCUACUCUUGACAUCCAGAGAACUUAGCAGAGAUGCUUUGGUGCCUUCGGGAACUCUGAGACAGGUGCUGCAUGGCUGUCGUCAGCUCGUGUUGUGAAAUGUUGGGUUAAGUCCCGCAACGAGCGCAACCCUUAUCCUUUGUUGCCAGCGAUUCGGUCGGGAACUCAAAGGAGACUGCCGGUGAUAAACCGGAGGAAGGUGGGGAUGACGUCAAGUCAUCAUGGCCCUUACGAGUAGGGCUACACACGUGCUACAAUGGCGCAUACAAAGAGAAGCGACCUCGCGAGAGCAAGCGGACCUCACAAAGUGCGUCGUAGUCCGGAUCGGAGUCUGCAACUCGACUCCGUGAAGUCGGAAUCGCUAGUAAUCGUGGAUCAGAAUGCCACGGUGAAUACGUUCCCGGGCCUUGUACACACCG